rnacentral:rRNA from 1 species
AUUGAACGCUGGCGGCAGGCCUAACACAUGCAAGUCGAGCGGAUGAAGGGAGCUUGCUCCUGGAUUCAGCGGCGGACGGGUGAGUAAUGCCUAGGAAUCUGCCUGGUAGUGGGGGAUAACGUCCGGAAACGGGCGCUAAUACCGCAUACGUCCAGAGGGAGAAAGUGGGGGAUCUUCGGACCUCACGCCAUCAGAUGAGCCUAGGUCGGAUUAGCUAGUUGGUGGGGUAAAGGCCUACCAAGGCGACGAUCCGUAACUGGUCUGAGAGGAUGAUCAGUCACACUGGAACUGAGACACGGUCCAGACUCCUACGGGAGGCAGCAGUGGGGAAUAUUGGACAAUGGGCGAAAGCCUGAUCCAGCCCUGCCGCGUGUGUGAAGAAGGUCUUCGGAUUGUAAAGCACUUUAAGUUGGGAGGAAGGGCAGUAAGUUAAUACCUUGCUGUUUUGACGUUACCAACAGAAUAAGCACCGGCUAACUUCGUG